rnacentral:misc_RNA from 1 species
GCUACUACGCAAAGGAGGCUCCGAGAGGGCCGCCACUACCUUUGAGGGCCUACAUCAGCUGUAGGGCCCCAACACCAAGCAGAGUUUGAGGGUUGAAAUGACGCUCGAACAGGCAUGCCCGACAGAAUGCUGGCGGCCGAAAUGUGCGGUCAAAGAUUCGAUGAUUCACUGAAUUCUGCAAUUCACAUUACUUAUCGCAUUUCGCUGCUUUCUUCAUCGAUGCCAGAACCGAGAGAUCCGUUGUUAAAAGUUUUGAUUAUUUGCGUGCACCACUCAGAAGAAGGGCCUUAAAAUCAGAGUGUGGAUUAUCCUCCGGGGGCCCCCUUCCCCGGCCGGUUUCCGGCGCCCAAUGUGUUCCCGGGGGGCCCUUCUCCCCCCAAACCCCCCUAUAUUGCAAUGUUCGACAUCGGUUUAGGGGCGGAAAACCCCGGUGAAUUCCUAACAUGAGAUUAAGCUGGGAAAAUGAUUACGAACUCGCUU